rnacentral:rRNA from 1 species
UACGUGGGGGGCAAGCGUUGUUCGGAAUUACUGGGCGUAAAGGGCUCGUAGGCGGUCAACUAAGUCGGACGUGAAAUCCCUCGGCUUAACCGGGGAACUGCGUCCGAUACUGGUUGGCUUGAGUUUGGGAGAGGGAUGCGGAAUUCCAGGUGUAGCGGUGAAAUGCGUAGAUAUGACAUAGAACACCAAUGGCGCAGGCAGCUUACUACACAGUAAUUGACACUGAGGCACGAAAGCGUGGGGAUCAAACAGG